CGCCAGACUCCUACGGGAGGCAGCAGUGGGGGAUAUUGCACAAUGGGGGGAACCCUGAUGCAGCGACGCCGCGUGGGUGAAGGAGCGUUUCGGCGCGUAAAGCCCUAUCGGCAGGGAAGAAGGAGGACGGUACCUGACUAAGAAGCCCCGGCUAACUACGUGCCAGCAGCCGCGGGAAUACGUAUGGUGCAAGCGUUAUCCGGAUUUACUGGGCGUAAAGGGAGCGCAGGCGGCGCGCCAAGUCUGAUGUGAAACCCCGGGGCUCAACCCCGGGCAUGCAUUGGAAACUGGCGGGCUGGAGUGCCGGAGAGGCAGGCGGAAUUCCUAGUGUAGCGGUGAAAUGCGUAGAUAUUAGGAGGAACACCAGUGGCGAAGGCGGCCUGCUGGACGACAACUGACGGUGAGGCGCGAAAGCGUGGGGAGCAAACAGGAUUAGAUACCCCGGUAC
rnacentral:rRNA from 1 species